UACGGGGGGGGCAAGCGUUGUUCGGAAUUACUGGGCGUAAAGGGCUCGUAGGCGGCCAACUAAGUCAGACGUGAAAUCCCUCGGCUUAACCGGGGAACUGCGUCUGAUACUGGAUGGCUUGAGAUUGGGAGAGGGAUGCGGAAUUCCAGGUGUAGCGGUGAAAUGCGUAGAUAUCUGGAGGAACACCCGUAGCGAAGGCGGCACUCUGGGCCGAUACUGACACUGAGGAGCGAAAGCGUGGGGAGCGAACAGG
rnacentral:rRNA from 1 species